AUCGGACAUCUCUAGUAAAAACAUGGCAAAAUUGAGUUGAGUUUGAGUUUAUUUCCAACGAAGAGGAGGAAUUAAGAGGAAGCGACGGCGAAGAAGGGCAAAGGGAAGUGUAAAAAGGAAAUGGACAGUGAGAUGAGUGACCAGGAAGUGAAGAAGAAGAAAACAGGGAAAGGGAAAAGAACCAAGCAAACGCUAGUGAGACCAGUGAGCAUUGAGCAGGAAGAGAACCAACAAGAAGGGGCAGGAGUACACUGACGCGCACGACCAAGACCACAGCAUUCCAUUUCUAUUCCAUCCAUCUUCUUCUGCUUAUCCGAGGUCGGGUCGCGGGGGC